rnacentral:rRNA from 1 species
UACAGAGGUCCCAAGCGUUGUCCGGAUUUAUUGGGCGUAAAGAGCUCGUAGGCGGUUUGUCGCGUCUUCCGUGAAAACUGGGGGCUUAACUUCCAGCUUGCGGUGGAUACGGGCUGACUGGAGUGCGGCAGGGGAGACUGGAAUUCCUGGUGUAGCGGUGAAAUGCGCAGAUAUCAGGAGGAACACCGGUGGCGAAGGCGGGUCUCUGGGCCGUUACUGACGCUGAGGAGCGAAAGCGUGGGGAGCGAACAGG